rnacentral:tRNA from 1 species
AGGUUUUUAGUGUAGUGGUAACACGGCAAGUUCCAACCUUGUCAUCGCGGGUUCGAUUCCUGCAAGACCUG